rnacentral:rRNA from 1 species
GAUGAACGCUGGCGGCGUGCCUAACACAUGCAAGUCGAACGAGAUGCGUAUUGGAAAGCUUCGGCCGGAAGAUACGUUAUCUAGUGGCGGACGGGUGAGUAACACGUGGGUAACCUGCCUUAUGGAGGGGGAUAACAGAGAGAAAUCACUGCUAAUACCGCAUAAGCACACAGUACCGCAUGGUAGAGUGUGAAAAGAUUUAUCGCCAUAAGAUGGACCCGCGUCUGAUUAGCCAGUUGGCAGGGUAAAAGCCUACCAAAGCAACGAUCAGUAGCCGAUCUGAGAGGAUGACCGGCCACAUUGGGACUGAGACACGGCCCAAACUCCUACGGGAGGCAGCAGUGGGGAAUAUUGCACAAUGGGGGAAACCCCGAUGCAGCGACGCCGCGUGAGUGAAGAAGUAUUUCGGUAUGUAAAGCUCUAUCAGCAGGGAAGAUAAUGACUGUACCUGACUAAGAAGCCCCGGCUAACUACGUGCCAGCAGCCGCGGUAAUACGUAGGGGGCAAGCGUUAUCCGGAUUUACUGGGUGUAAAGGGAGCGUAGACGGAGUGGCAAGUCUGAAGUGAAAACCCUGGGCUUAACCUGGGGGACUGCUUUGGAAACUGUUAAUCUAAAGUGUUGGAGAUGUAAGUGGAAUUCCUGGUGGAGCGGUGAAAUGCGUAGAUAUCAGGAAGAACUGCGGAGGCGAAGGCGGCUUACUGGACUAGAACUGACGUGUGAGGCGCGGAGCGUGGGGUUCAUACAGUGAUAUGUUCCUGUAGUAUUUGUGUGGCGAGAUCCUCAGUGGGUUCUCGAGUUUAUCCUGACCUUCGACUGCUCGGUGUGUGCCCUCGUUCUUUUUUUUUUUUCUUUGUGGAGUUGUAUUAAUCUUGUGUAUGUUGUGUUGUUUUGUUUAUGUGUGA